rnacentral:lncRNA from 1 species
AUGAGCUGGCUUUACCUACUCCUUCGCCCAGUGCACUCUGAGGAUGGUGUUUUCACUCCUGAGCUGAUCUCCUGUGUUGUUACCUCUGUCAAAUCUGUCAUUUGCCAACUUCUUGUGAACCUGUGGCCACUGAAGUGUGAAUUCCCAGCCUCUCUCAUUUAUUCCUUUAUUCAGGAAACCAUUAUUGAUGCCUCAUUGGUGGCCAGUUCAAUGCUCACUAUCAGGAACAAAAGAAUGCUCCUUCUGAAAACCCAGCUGCAAAGCUGUGAAGAGACCCAACCAACUCUGUGGGGGCCCACCUGGAGGAGAAGUGAGACACCUGGCUAACAGUUCCAGCUGAGCUCCCAGUUGGCAACUAGCACCAACUUUCAGCCAUGUGGUGACAGGGUCUUACUGUCAUCCAGGCUGGAGUACAGUGGCUUGAUCAUAGCUUACUGUAACUUCAAACUCCUGGGCUCAAAUGAUCUCCCUGCCUCAACCUUCCGAGUAGCUAGGACUACAGGUAUGCACCACCAUGUCUAGACAAUUUUUAAAAUUUUUCGUAGAGACAGGGGUCUUGCUAUGUUACCCAGGCUAGUUUCAAACUUCUGGCCUCAAGCGAUCUUCCUGCCCUGGCCUCCCAAAGAGCUGGGAUUACAGGCAUGAGGCAUGAACCACACUAGGAC